rnacentral:rRNA from 1 species
ACUCCUACGGGAGGCAGCAGUGGGGAAUAUUGCACAAUGGGCGCAAGCCUGAUGCAGCCAUGCCGCGUGUGUGAAGAAGGCCUUCGGGUUGUAAAGCACUUUCAGUUGUGAGGAAGGUGGUGUCGUUAAUAGCGGCAUCAUUUGACGUUAGCAACAGAAGAAGCACCGGCUAACUCCGUGCCAGCAGCCGCGGUAAUACGGAGGGUAGCGAGCGUUAAUCGGAAUUACUGGGCGUAAAGCGCAUGCAGGUGGUUUGUUAAGUCAGAUGUGAAAGCCCGGGGCUCAACCUCGGAACUGCAUUUGAAACUGGCAGACUAGAGUACUGUAGAGGGGGGUAGAAUUUCAGGUGUAGCGGUGAAAUGCGUAGAGAUCUGAAGGAAUACCGGUGGCGAAGGCGGCCCCCUGGAC